rnacentral:rRNA from 1 species
GAUGAACGCUAGCGGCAGGCUUAAUACAUACAAGUCGUGGGGCAGCAUGGGGUAGCAAUACUCUGAUGGCGACCGGCAAACGGGUGCGGAACACGUACGCAACCUUCCCAAAACUGGUGAAUAGCCCUCCGAAAGGAGGAUUAAUACACCGUAACAUAACGAAGUGGCAUCACUUUGUUAUUAUAGCUCCGGCGGUUUUGGAUGGGCGUGCGCCUGAUUAGGUAGUUGGCGGGGUAACGGCCCACCAAGCCUACGAUCAGUAACUGGUGUGAGAGCACGACCAGUCACACGGGCACUGAGACACGGGCCCGACUCCUACGGGAGGCAGCAGUAAGGAUAUUGGUCAAUGGACGCAAGUCUGAACCAGCCAUGCCGCGUGAAGGAUGAAGGUCCUCUGGAUUGUAAACUUCUUUUAUCUGGGACGAAAAAAGGGCUUUCUAGCUCACUUGACGGUACCAGAGGAAUAAGCACCGGCUAACUCCGUG